rnacentral:rRNA from 1 species
CAGUCGCCACGGUAAUACGAAGGGGGCUAGCGUUGUUCGGAUUUACUGGGCGUAAAGCGCACGUAGGCGGAUCGAUCAGUCAGGGGUGAGAUCCCAGAGCUCAACUCUGGAACUGCCUUUGAUACUGUCGAUCUGGAGUAUGGAAGAGGUGAGUGGAAUUCCGAGUGUAGAGGUGAAAUUCGUAGAUAUUCGGAAGAACACCAGUGGCGAAGGCGACAUACUGGAUCAUUACUGACGCUGAGGCUCGAAAGCGUGGGGGGCAAACAGGAUUAGAUACCCCAGUAGUCCCUGUCUGUUAUAC